CCUACGGGAGGCAGCAGUGAGGAAUAUUGGUCAAUGGACGAGAGUCUGAACCAGCCAAGUAGCGUGAAGGAUGACUGCCCUAUGGGUUGUAAACUUCUUUUAUAUGGGAAUAAAAUGUUCCACGUGUGGGAUUUUGUAUGUACCAUAUGAAUAAGGAUCGGCUAACUCCGUGCCAGCAGCCGUGGUAAUACGGAGGAUCCGAGCGUUAUCCGGAUUUAUUGGGUUUAAAGGGAGCGUAGGUGGAUUGUUAAGUCAGUUGUGAAAGUUUGCGGCUCAACCGUAAAAUUGCAGUUGAAACUGGCAGUCUUGAGUACAGUAGAGGUAGGCGGAAUUCGUGGUGUAGCGGUGAAAUGCUUAGAUAUCACGAAGAACUCCGAUUGCGAAGGCAGUUCACUGGACUGCAACUGACACUGAGGCUCGAAAGUGUGGGUAUCAAACAGGAUUAGAUACCCGUGUAGUC
rnacentral:rRNA from 1 species